GGUGUUAUUUCCAGGAUUUUCUUUUAUAAGAUUAAUUUUUAACAAGCAGUUAACAGAAGAAGUUUUCAAAAUCUGGAAAGUGUAUCAAGGUCCUAUUAUAGCAUUAAAAAAUGUACAGGUGUACCGGAUAAAUAUCCAUUAAAGGUAUUUUAUACGUCCUAGGAAUAUUUUUGUCCCCGGAAAAUAAGACCCGGGAAAUUCCUGGAAUAUCCCAGGAAAACCUUGAGUAUUUUCCAAUAAAUUUCAUUGAAAACAAACAAGAAACAAGCAUAUCGGUCAGCAAAAGUGGUAAACGGAGCUUAACCGAAGCCAUAACGCUUCAAUUUUCUUCCAUGGCGCUUAAAACUUCCAUCUUGAAAGCUCUCAUUAUUUCUGGAUUAAAUCUGAAGGCGGGGGCCGGUAGUUCGGCUUAAUCCAACAAUGGGCAAUUUCGCAAGUUUGAUUACUUUUUGAGUGGUUUUGGCUACAAUUUACCUUGCAGCGAUCCCGUUUUAUUUCAUUUGCCAUAAAUACCAAGAUUAAUUUAUUCGUAGAUUAGAAAUUGUACGUUGCUUGAAAAAAUAUUUGUACUGAAAUUAGGGUUAUAAUUUUUGAUUAAAAUAUAUGCAUUAAUUUUA